UACGUAGGGUGCAAGCGUUGUCCGGAAUUAUUGGGCGUAAAGAGCUCGUAGGCGGUUUGUUGCGUCGGCUGUGAAAUCCCGAGGCUCAACCUCGGGUCUGCAGUCGAUACGAGCAAACUAGAGUGUUGCAGGGGAGACUGGAAUUCCUGGUGUAGCGGUGAAAUGCGCAGAUAUCAGGAGGAACACCGGUGGCGAAGGCGGGUCUCUGGGCAGCAACUGACGCUGAGGCACGAAGGCCAGGGGAGCAAACGGG
rnacentral:rRNA from 1 species